CCUACGGGUGGCAGCAGUGGGGAAUAUUGCACAAUGGGCGAAACCCUGAUGCAGCGACGCCGCGUGAGCGAAGAAGUAUUUCGGUAUGUUAAGCCCUAUCAGCAGGGAAGAAGGAAUGACGGUACCUGCGUAAGAAGCACCUGCUAAAUACGUGCCAGUGGCCUCGGUAAUACGUAGGGUGCAAGCGUUAUCCGGAUUUACUGGGGGUAAAGGGAGCGCAGGCGGUACGGCAAGCCUGGUGUGAAAGCCUGCGGCCCAACCGCGGGACUGCAGUGGGACCCACCGGGCUGGAGUGCCGGAGAGGUAGGCGGAAUGCCUAGUGUAGCGGUGAAAUGCGUAGAUAUGAGGAGGAACUCCAGUGGCGAAGGCGGCAUACUGGACGGCGACUGACGCUGAGGCUCGAAAGCGUGGGGAGCAAACAGGAUUAGAUACCCUAGUAGUC
rnacentral:rRNA from 1 species